UACGGAGGUGGCAAGCGUUGUUCGGAAUUACUGGGCGUAAAGGGCGCGUAGGCGGCAAGGCAAGUCAGGUGUGAAAGCCCCGAGCUUAACUCGGGAAUUGCAUCUGAAACUGCUGUGCUUGAGUUCUGGAGGGGGUAGUGGAAUUCCCAGUGUAGCGGUGAAAUGACGUAGAUAUUGGGUGAGGAACACCUGCGGCGAAGGCGGCUACCUGGACAGAAACUGACGCUGAGG
rnacentral:rRNA from 1 species